GCGAAACUGCGGACGGCUCAUUAAAUCAGUUAUCGUUUAUUUGAUAGCACCUACUACAUGGAUAACUGUGGUAAUUCUAGAGCUAAUACAUGCUAAAAAUCCCGACUUCGGAAGGGAUGUAUUUAUUAGAUUAAAAACCAAUGCCCUUCGGGGCUCUCUGGUGAUUCAUAAUAACUGCUCGAAUCGCAUGGCCUUGCGCCGGCGAUGGCUCAUUCAAAUUUCUGCCCUAUCAACUUUCGACGGCUGGGUCUUGGCCAGCCAUGGUGACAACGGGUAACGGAGGGUUAGGGCUCGACCCCGGAGAAGGAGCCUGAGAGACGGCUACUACAUCCAAGGAAGGCAGCAGGCGCGCAAAUUACCCAAUCCCAAUUCGGGGAGGUAGUGACAAUAAAUACUGAUACAGGGCUCUUUUGGGUCUUGUAAUCGGAAUGAGAACAAUUUAAAUCCCUUAACGAGGAACAAUUGGAGGGCAAGUCUGGUGCCAGCAGCCGCGGUAAUUCCAGCUCCAAUAGCGUAUAUUAAAGUUGUUGCAGUUAAAAAGCUCGUAGUUGAACCUUGGGCCUGGCUGGCCGGUCCGCCUCACCGCGUGCACUGGUCCGGCCGGGCCUUUCCCUCUGGGGAGCCGCAUGCCCUUCACUGGGCGUGUCGGGGAACCAGGACUUUUACUGUGAAAAAAUUAGAGUGUUCAAAGCAGGCCUAUGCUCGAAUACAUUAGCAUGGAAUAAUAGAAUAGGACGUGUGGUUCUAUUUUGUUGGUUUCUAGGACCGCCGUAAUGAUUAAUAGGGACAGUCGGGGGCGUCAGUAUUCAAUUGUCAGAGGUGAAAUUCUUGGAUUUAUUGAAGACUAACUGCUGCGAAAGCGUUCGCCAAGGAUGUUUUCAUUAAUCAGGAACGAAAGUUAGGGGA
rnacentral:rRNA from 1 species